UACGUAGGGGGCAAGCGUUGUCCGGAAUCAUUGGGCGUAAAGAGCGUGUAGGCGGCUCGGUAAGUCCGCUGUGAAAGUCCAGGGCUCAACCCUGGAAUGCCGGUGGAAACUGUCGAGCUAGAGUCCGGAAGAGGCGAGUGGAAUUCCUGGUGUAGCGGUGAAAUGCGUAGAGAUCAGGAGGAAUACCGGUGGCGAAAGCGACUCUCUGGACGGCAACUGACGCUGAGGCACGAAAGCGUGGGGAGCAAACAGG
rnacentral:rRNA from 1 species